CGGUGGCAGAUGAUCGCUGUCGGCGCGAGCUGGCAGAGGAAAGUCCGAACACCACAAGGCAGCAUGCCGCGUAAAACACGCGGAGGCGCCGGGCCCAAGCCUGGCGCGAUGGAAAGUGUCACAGAAAACAAACCGCCCGCGGCGCAAGUCGCGGGUAAGGGUGAAAAGGCGGGGUAAAAGCCCACCGCCCGGUGCGCAAGCCCCGGGGCACGACAAACCCCAUGCGGUGCAAGGCAAAACAGGGAGCUGGGCCGCCUGCCCGGCUCUACCUCGGGCGAAAGCCUUGGGUAGAGCCACUCCCGGGUAAUAGUCGCACCAGCACGUCGCAAGGCGUGCGGCGAUCCGCGCAAGCGGGUCGAGAGAAAUGAUCGUCACCGGCGCGGGCAACUGUGCCGGAACAGAAUUCGGCUUAUCGCCGCCAAAAU
rfam:Chthoniobacter flavus Ellin428 ctg78, whole genome shotgun sequence.